AGAGUUUGAUCCUGGCUCAGGAUGAACGCUGGCGGCGUGCCUAACACAUGCAAGUCGAACGAGAAGCUUGUUUUCGAAUAAGCGGAGAGUGGCGCACGGGUGAGUAACACGUAGCUAACCUGCCCCGGAGAGCGGGACAACCCUGGGAAACCAGGGCUAAUACCGCAUAAGCUCACAGAGAGUAAGUAUCAGUGAGAAAAGGCAAGCGCAUUUAUGCGCCGUGCUUCGGGAGGGGGCUGCGGCCCAUCAGCUAGUUGGUAGGGUAAAAGCCUACCAAGGCGACGACGGGUAGGGGACCUGAGAGGGUGACCCCCCACACUGGGACUGAGACACGGCCCAGACUCCUACGGGAGGCAGCAGUGAGGAAUAUUGCGCAAUGGACGAAAGUCAGACGCAGCGACGCCGCGUGGGCGAUGAAGGUCUUCGGAUCGUAAAGCCCUUUUCCGGGUGAAGAAGAAAAUAACGGUAGCCCGGGAAUAAGUGUCGGCUAACUACGUGCCAGCAGCCGCGGUAAAACGUAGGACGCAAGCGUUAUCCGGAAUUACUGGGCGUAAAGCGCGUGUAGGCGGAUUGCCAAGUCGGGCAUGAAAGCUCCUGGCUAAACUGGGAGAGGUUGUUCGAAACUGGCAGUCUGGAGUGUGACAGAGGAGCGUGGAAUUCCGCAUGUAGUGGUGAAAUGCGUAGAUAUGCGGAGGAACACCAGUGGCGAAGGCGGCGCUCUGGGUCACAACUGACGCUAAGACGCGAAAGCAUGGGUAGCGAACGGGAUUAGAAACCCCGGUAGUCCAUGCCGUAAACGAUGUGCACUAGAUGUUUGUGGUCCGAAAGGGCCGUGAGUGUCGAAGCAAACGCGAUAAGUGCACCGCCUGGGGAGUACGGUCGCAAGGCUAAAACUCAAAGGAAUUGACGGGGCCCCGCACAAGCAGCGGAGCGUGUGGUUUAAUUCGAUUUACGCGAAGAACCUUACCUGGGCUUGACAUAGCGGUGGUAGGAAAGCGAAAGCGGCCCGACCCUUCGGGGAGCCGUUACAGGUGCUGCAUGGCUGUCGUCAGCUCGUGCCGUGAGGUGUUCGGUUAAGUCCGCAAACGAGCGCAACCCUCGGAUCCAGUUACAAGUGUCUGGGUCAACUGCCCGUGACAAACGGGAGGAAGGUGGGGAUGACGUCAAGUCAGCAUGGCCUUUAUGUCCAGGGCUACACACACGCUACAAUGGUCGGUACAAUGGGUCGCCAAGUCGCGAGACGGAGCCAAUCCUAAAAAGCCGGUCGUAGUUCGAAUUGUAGGCUGCAACUCGCCUGCAUGAAGCUGGAGUUGCUAGUAACCGCAGGUCAGAACACUGCGGUGAAUACGUUCCCGGGGCUUGUACACACCGCCCGUCAUGUCAUGGAAGCUGGUCACGCCUGAAGUCGGGAAGCCAACCGAAAGGAGGCUACCGCCGAAGGCAGGGCUGGUGACUGGGACGAAGUCGGAACAAGGUA
rnacentral:rRNA from 1 species